AUUGAACGCUGGCGGCACGCCUAACACAUGCAAGUCGAGCGGUAACAUGGUUAGUAGCAAUACUGACUGAUGACGAGCGGCGGACGGGUGAGGAACACGUAGGAACUUGACCUUUAGAGGGGGACAACCAAGGGAAACUUUGGCUAAUACCGCGUAAUCUCGAGAGAGGAAAGCUGCCGCAAGGUGGCGCUAGAGGAGAGGCCUGCGUCCGAUUAGCUAGUUGGUGGGGUAAAGGCCCACCAAGGCGAUGAUCGGUAACUGGUCUGAGAGGACGACCAGUCACACUGGGACUGAGACACGACCCAGACUCCUACGGGAGGCAGCAGUGGGGAAUAUUGGACAAUGGGGGCAACCCUGAUCCAGCGAUGCCGCGUGGGUGAAGAAGGCCUUCGGGUUGUAAAGCCCUUUAGGCCGGGAAGAAGGGUGCUGGGGGAUAAUCCCAGUACUUUGACGGUACCGGCAGAAUAAGCACCGGCAAACUCUGUGCCAGCCGCCGCCGUAA
rnacentral:rRNA from 1 species